AGUAAUGCCUAGGAAUCUGCCUGGUGGUGGGGGAUAACGUUCGGAAACGGACGCUAAUACCGCAUACGUCCUACGGGAGAAAGCGGGGGAUCUUCGGACCUCGCGCCAUUAGAUGAGCCUAGGUCGGAUUAGCUAGUUGGUGAGGUAAUGGCUCACCAAGGCGACGAUCCGUAACUGGGUCUGAGAGGAUGAUCAGUCACACUGGAACUGAGACACGGUCCAGACUCCUACGGGAGGCAGCAGUGGGGAAUAUUGGACAAUGGGCGAAAGCCUGAUCCAGCCAUGCCGCGUGUGUGAAGAAGGUCUUCGGAUUGUAAAGCACUUUAAGUUGGGAGGAAGGGCAGUAACCUAAUACGUUAUUGUUUUGACGUUACCGACAGAAUAAGCACCGGCUAACUUCGUG
rnacentral:rRNA from 1 species